rnacentral:lncRNA from 1 species
GUAAGUGGACCAAUGAAACCAUCAAAUAUUUUGAGAAUAAUGUAUGUAACAUGACCUGCCUGAAUCCCACAAAAACGUGUCAGGAGGCAAAAUAUGAUUCCAAUUGUAGUGAUAUUAAUGCAGGUGAAGCAAGUAAAAUUAACAACAUUGAGAUCCAUAAUAAAAAAGCAACUUGUUUUAAGUGUGGAAGUCCUUUUCAAGUGGUGAAAGAAGUCUCCUUACCCAAAGGAAUGUCAGAUCAAUUUAAUGCUAAUAAAACAGAAACAGAUGCUGGUGCAGCUGCUGAGGCCAUGAAAAAUCUCUCCAGCAUUCUGUCUUUGAUGGAGAAUUUGACCAUUGCCUCUAUAUCCAUGGGUAACGUUAAAGGGAUUUUAAAGAAAAUUUCAACUGAGUCCGAAAUCAAGACAUCCUACUUCAUCUACUCUUCAGAAACUGACAUCAGAGUUUUAGAUGAUGUGGGCGAACUGAAAAAAUACCCCAGUGCUUUCAGUAUUCCAGAGGAAGCCGCUAAGAAAGCGCUCAAGCAAAACACAGGAAACGCUUUUUUGGGUGUGUUCCGCUUUCCCAACAUGACAAAGGUAUAAAGAAAUAUCAAAAACAGGCUUAGUCAAGUUUUCAAUGACAUGUU